UACGGAGGGAGCUAGCGUUGUUCGGAAUUACUGGGCGUAAAGCGCGUGUAGGUGGCGAGGCAAGUCGGGUGUGAAAGCCCUGGGCUCAACCCAGGAAGUGCACUCGAUACUGCCUAGCUAGAGUCCCGGAGAGGUUGGUGGAACUCUCGGUGUAGAGGUGAAAUUCGUAGAUAUCGAGAAGAACACCGGUGGCGAAGGCGGCCAACUGGACGGUGACUGACACUGAGACGCGAAAGCGUGGGGAGCAAACAGG
rnacentral:rRNA from 1 species